AGGACGAACGCUGGCGGCGUGCUUAACACAUGCAAGUCGAGCGGAAAGGCCCUUCGGGGUACUCGAGCGGCGAACGGGUGAGUAACACGUGAGUAAUCUGCCUUCAGCUCUGGGAUAGCUCCGGGAAACCGGGAUUAAUACCGGAUAUGACCACUUCGGACAUCUGUUGUGGUGGAAAGUUUUUCGGCUGGAGAUGAGCUCGCGGCCUAUCAGCUUGUUGGUGGGGUAAAGGCCUACCAAGGCGACGACGGGUAGCCGGCCUGAGAGGGCGACCGGCCACACUGGGACUGAGACACGGCCCAGACUCCUACGGGAGGCAGCAGUGGGGAAUAUUGCGCAAUGGGCGGAAGCCUGACGCAGCGACGCCGCGUGGGGGAUGAAGGCCUUCGGGUUGUAACCCCUUUCAGCAGGGACGAAGCGCAAGUGACGGUACCUGCAGAAGAAGCGCCGGCUAACUACGCGCCAGCAGCCGC
rnacentral:rRNA from 1 species